GGUGGCACACCAGUGAAUGACCUGGUACGAGUUUUGGUGGUGGCAGAAUCAAACACCCCAGAAGAGACUCCAGAGGAGGAGUUUUAUGCCUAUGUGGAACUUCAGACUGAGUUGUACACCUUUGGUCUGUCUGAUGACAAUGUGGUUUUCACUAGCGAUUAUAUGACUGUGUGGAUGAUUGACAUUCCCAAAUCUUAUGUGGAUGUGGGCAUGCUCACACGAGCAACUUUCCUGGAGCAGUGGCCGGGUGCCAAAGUGACUGUCAUGAUUCCCUACUCCUCCACCUUUACCUGGUGUGGAGAGCUUGGCGCCAUCUCUGAAGAAUCUGCCCCACAACCAAGUUUGAGUGCCAGAUCCCCGGUCUGUAAGAACAGUGCCAGAUAUUCUACCUCAAAAUUUUGCGAGGUAGAUGGAUGCACAGCUGAAACUGGCAUGGAAAAGAUGUCUCUGCUCACUCCAUUUGGAGGCCCACCUCAACAGGCUAAGAUGAACACUUGCCCAUGCUACUACAAGUACAGCGUGAGCCCACUGCCUGCCAUGGACCACUUGAUCCUAGCUGACCUAGCUGGCCUGGAUUCUCUCACUUCACCUGUUUAUGUGAUGGCAGCAUAUUUUGAUUCUACACAUGAAAAUCCUGUGAGACCAUCCAGCAAGCUUUAUCAUUGUGCUCUACAGAUGACAAGUCAUGAUGGGGUGUGGACUUCAACUUCCAGUGAGCAGUGUCCCAUUAGACUGGUUGAGGGCCAGUCUCAAAAUGUGCUGCAGGUCCGGGUGGCUCCGACAUCGAUGCCUAACCUGGUUGGGGUCAGCUUGAUGUUGGAGGGGCAACAGUACAGGCUGGAGUAUUUUGGGGAUCAUUGAUACUCAGUAACUUAAGAGGAAAUUUUUUUGUUAAAAAUAAAGUUAUUUUUAAAAAA
rnacentral:tmRNA from 1 species